UUGAUCUUUACAGAAGUCUCGGCUCAUCAUCAUGUGCUGUUUUUUGAAUAUAAAAUGAAAUACCCUGAACUGAAACUAAUUCCUCCCAGGUUUGAUACCAAACAUAUAAAAACUCUUGGCUCAUGGAUCUCCCGCUCACAUCAAAAGACUCAGUCGACAUUUCAACAUGUGUAUCCAGGUGUGAUCAGAGACUCCUGUAAUGUUUCCACCACAUUUAGUCCCGUGAAGGUGACUGCGUUCCUGCAGUGUGAGGCGGGUUGGAAAAAGUCGGCGGGUGUCUGCAGAGAGAGGUCGGCACACCGGCGUCUCCGCUGCCUACAUCCAAACGUUUAGAGUCAAACUCAGACAUGAUUACACCGAGUGUGGCAGGGAUUGCAUCAUAUCUGUUAUUCCAGCUCAGGAGGAAAGCAUGUCACAAAAAUUCUUUUUUUUCCUUCUUGUUGAAUAUAAAAAUUCUCUGGAGAAUCGUAAAAACUCGUGUUUCCUGUUAAUACUCUGUUAUUUUAAAUCCCCAGACUAAUUAAAUGUGUUUGUGCGUGUUACCGCAUCAUAAA